rnacentral:rRNA from 1 species
UACGGGGGGGGCAAGCGUUGUUCGGAAUUACUGGGCGUAAAGGGCUCGUAGGCGGCCAACUAAGUCAGACGUGAAAUCCCUCGGCUUAACCGGGGAACUGCAUCUGAUACUGGAUGGCUUGAGUUCGGGAGAGGGAUGCGGAAUUCCAGGUGUAGCGGUGAAAUGCGCAGAUAUCAGGAGGAACACCUGCGGCGAAGGCGGGUAGCUGGGCCGACACGUGACGCUGAGGCGCGAAAGCCAGGGGAGCGAACGGG